rnacentral:pre_miRNA from 1 species
UAGAUACUCCCUCCGUCUGGAAAUACUUGUCAGAGGAAUGGAUGUAUCUAGAUGUAUUUUAGUUCUAGAUACAUCCAUUUUUAUGCAUUUCUACGACAAGUAUUUUCGGACGGAGGGAGUACUAU